rnacentral:rRNA from 1 species
UACGAAGGACCCCGAGCGUUAUCCGGAUUUAUUGGGUUUAAAGGGUGCGUAGGCGGAUUAGUAAGUCAGUGGUGAAAGCCCAUCGCUUAACGGUGGAAUUGCCAUUGAUACUGCUAGUCUUGAGUAUGGUUGAGGUGGGCGGAAUGUGUCAUGUAGCGGUGAAAUGCUUAGAUAUGACCCAGAACACCAAUUGCGAAGGCAGCUCGCUAAGCCAUAACUGACGCUGAUGCACGAAAGCGUGGGGAGCAAACAGG